GUUCUUCCUUUCUUUUAUUAGGGUUGAGACUUCUUCUUUUGGUCAUAUCAAACCCUGUGAUUCACGGUGAAAACCUGUUCAGGCAUCAAAGCAACAAAUGGACGAAAUUUUAUGCCCCAGUUUUUACUAGGAAAAUUUCGUGAGUUAUUUAUAACAAAAAUCUAAAAUAUUUCUUUAUUGAAAGUAAUAAAAUCAGGAUUGUGUAUCCUUGGGAAAAAGAGAUUAGGGAGUGGAGCCCUCUAUUUAUAAUAAAAUCAACUAGGGAGUGGAGACCCUAUGUUGGAAAAGAGACUAGGGAGUGGAGACCCUAUAUCUAAACUAAAAUCAACUAGGGAGUGGAGACCCUAUGUUGGAAAAGUGACUAGGGAGUGGAGACUCUAAGUCUAAAAUAACUUCAACUAGGGAAUGGAGACCUUAUGUUGGAAAAGAAAACUAGGGAGUGGAGACCCUAUGACUAAAAUAAAAUCAACUAGGGAGUGGAGACCCUAUGCCUAAAAUAAAAUCAACUAGGGAGUAGAGACCCUAUAUUAGAAAAGCAGACUAGGGAGUGGAGACCCUAUGCCUAAAAUAACUUCAACUAGGUAGUGGAGACCCUAUGUUGGAAAAACGACUAGGGAGUGGAGAUCCUAUGUCUAAAAUAACUUCAACUAGGGAGUGGAGACCCUAUGUUGGAAAAACGACUAGGNNNNNNNNNNNNNNNNNNNNNNNNNNNNNNNNNNNNNNNNNNNNNNNNNNNNNNNNNNNNNNNNNNNNNNNNNNNNNNNNNNNNNNNNNNNNNNNNNNNNNNNNNNNNNNNNNNNNNNNNNNNNNNNNNNNNNNNNNNNNNNNNNNNNNNNNNNNNNNNNNNNNNNNNNNNNNNNNNNNNNNNNNNNNNNNNNNNNNNNNNNNNNNNNNNNNNNNNNNNNNNNNNNNNNNNNNNNNNNNNNNNNNNNNNNNNNNNNNNNNNNNNNNNNNNNNNNNNNNNNNNNNNNNNNNNNNNNNNNNNNNNNNNNNNNNNNNNNNNNNNNNNNNNNNNNNNNNNNNNNNNNNNNNNNNNNNNNNNNNNNNNNNNNNNNNNNNNNNNNNNNNNNNNNNNNNNNNNNNNNNNNNNNNNNNNNNNNNNNNNNNNNNNNNNNNNNNNNNNNNNNNNNNNNNNNNNNNNNNNNNNNNNNNNNNNNNNNNNNNNNNNNNNNNNNNNNNNNNNNNNNNNNNNNNNNNNNNNNNNNNNNNNNNNNNNNNNNNNNNNNNNNNNNNNNNNNNNNNNNNAGUGGGGACCCUAUGUCUAAAAUAACUUCAACUAGGGAGUGGAGACUCUAUGUCUAAAAUAAAAUCAACUAGGGAGUGGAGACCCUAUGUUGGAAAAACGUAACUAGAGAUUGGGACCCUAGGCUACCAUGUUUUUGAAUUUUCUUCUUCUCUCUUUUUUUCUUUUUUCUUUUUAAAUUUUAUUUAAGAAAAAAUGAGUAAGAAUUUAGGAAAGAAUUUGGAAGAGACUUCCUUUUUGGAUUGAUUAUUGUUGCAAAACUGUUUCUAGCCCUUGCGCAGUUUCUUUUGGUUGCACCUGCUUCUUGCAAGGUUGCUUUGGAUUGCACCUGUUUCAUAUUUUUCAAACAAAGAACAAUUGUUAGUUUGAAACUGUGGUUGGUUUUGUGGCCUUGAUUGUUUGAUCUCGACCCAACUCUUUCGAUGAAAACCUUUAUUGCUCGCUGGCUUUCUAGAGAUUGAUCUCUCUUCUAAACCCAGAGAUCUUAACUUUCCAAAAUUUCACAUACUGGUUCACCCGUGUGGGGAUUUGGCCUUUUCAUCUUAUUUUGCCUUUAUGGGCACUUGACUUUGGAUUUCUUUCCUUUUCAAUAAUUUUGACUCUGAAGCAUCGGCCAUCAUGGCCAGUCGAGAUCGACUUGAUGCACCUGCUGAGGCUGGGUGCUUUUUUGCACAUUAACUCGUGUCAAACGAAAGCCCUGUUAAUCAAUCUUGCCAUCCCUUCUUUGUCUUAGUUACAGAAUUGAGUUAGACUGAAAAGAAUUCAAAGAAAAAUAAACAAUGGACAGGAUAAUGAAUUUAAAUGAGAGGUAUCACUUUCGGGGAGAAGAAAGAAGGACUUAUUCGGAGUGCAUGCGGACUUCAAUGAACAUGACAUGCAUUUUGGACUGGAUGCCGAAUCUGUGUAAAUCGUCCAACUCUCAGAAAUUCAUCACAACUUUGCCUUAAAACUGAGAACUUUGCUAGGACUCUGUUGAUGUCGAUGGCUGUGAGGAUCCUCUUUUUGAUCAGGGACGCCCUUUGCGGGUUUUCACGAGCUGACCUCUCUCAUUUUUCUUCUCACCAUCGCCUUAUAGUUCUCUUUGCGAGUUCUCACUAACAAAACUCUCUCAUUUCAAUUUCUGUGCUUACUAUCACCUCACGGUGUCUGUGUGGGUUUUCACCAAUAAGACUCUCUCAUUUCAUUUCUCUGCUUACCAUCGCCUUAUGGUGCCUAUGUGGGUUUUCACCAAUAAGACUCUCUUAUUUUAUUUCUCUCAUUUUGUUGUAUCAGAUCCAAGUAACUCUAUCCUUCCAUUUUGAACCUCUUUGUCGAUUGAUCAGAAGGACUUGAACAGGGUUUUGGGGUAAAAAGGAUUUGGGAUUGAGUUACAACUUUGGAACCUUUAGGGCGAAGUCAUCGCCGAACCAUUAUAACAUUUGCCCCAGUUUCACUUUUGGGGGAAUUUAGAUUUUUAUUUUGGCGUGACUGAACCCCAGAGAGGCUACCUACAUAUCCUUUCGGAAUCAAGUCGAACGUAGUUCAUGGAACUUUUUUUUUUUUUUUUGUUUUCUCUUUCUUUUUCCUUUCCUUUUCCUUUUUUUCAUUUUCUUUGUCUUUUCUUCUCCCCCUUUCUUUGUAUCUUUCUUUUUCUUCUCUUUUCAUUUUUUUCUCCUUUCAUUUUUUUAAUGUUCCAAUUUCAAUUCAAUUUUUUCUUCAAUAGUACUUUCAGGUUCCAAAGAGGGUAAUCAAAGAAGAGUAACUGGCUCAAAUGGUUUACAAAAGGGUUAAUGGUGUUUGUUUAGUGAGAAUGAAAGCCUUCGUCAUCCCAACCAGAGAAUAUUAAUAUUAUAUAGAGGAUCAACAUAGCACCUUUUGGCUGCAUAAGCAUUGACAAUUAUUUGAGGGAUAUUUCCUUCGAUGUGUCCCAAGUACAACGCACUCUUUUGGCAGUACUCUUUUUGCAAUGUAUAGACUAUCUAUAACCAAUUUUCUUCAGCUGCAAUCUAAUUCUUGAUUCAUUAUUUCAAAGUCUGACAACGUUUUAGGAUCUAGGCAUGAAGCCCACAAGCAUGUCAUGUUAUUUAAAGCUGUAUUAUUAGAACUGAAAGAAGAAAUAAGAAAAGUAAUAAAAAUCAGAAAGAAUAAAGAGAGAUUUAUGAACGAUGAAAUAUUGAUUUCAUUUCAUUGAAUUUUGAAUAUAAUAGGGUUUAAAUUGGAAUUUAAAGACAGUAAACUAAAAGAAACAUCUGAGUUACACCCUGGAAUAACUCGUGAUGUAGAAAAGGUGGCAAGACUGGACUACCGGGAUUCCCGCCUGACGGGGAAUGAAGUAGCCUUCCAAUUUUGCAGCUUGGCAUCGGGCCCCAUGAAUUGCACCUCAGCAGUGCUCGAGCCUUCUCCCGGCUGGACCAUGUGUGUUUCAUACAACUCUGCCUCAUAGCUCCACAUAUUUCCUCAAUUUCCUCGGCCGUGAAGGCUUCAUCAUCAUCUUCUUCUUCUGCGUACUUGGGCUUGACGAAUGUUUUGUAUAAAUGUGGGACUGGCUGAGGUAGAACCCAACCAUUGCUCUUUUGUUCAUUUGCCCAUGUCACAUCAGUUUUUGUGGCGUGAAAACCCGCACCGAAGAACUUCUCGCCGGCAGGUAAAGUGAUAGGUUCUGUGAUACCUUGCAAUGAUGCCUUGAGUCCCUUCCCAGGCUUAUAACCAUGCUUGAUCAUUUUAGUAGCGACCAUGAUGGACACAUUUGACAGAGAGGGCUGAGGACACGGGCUUCCCUCCUUACAUUGAUCUACGACCGGAACCUCGAAAGCUUGAUAGACUAUAUGUUCGCUACCUUCCAUAGCUUCGAGACAAGGGACUUACAAGUCUCGGUAAAUAUACUACUCGUCCUCUCCGUGGAUUACAAUCUCCUGAUCUUCAUAUUCAAAUUUCACCAUCUGGUGGAGAGUGGAAGGUACGACCCCUGCCAUAUGAAUCCAAGGCCUUCCCAAGAGGAAAUUAUAAGAAUUGUCCAUAUUUAGGACCUGAAAGGUCACCUCAAAAUCCACAUGACCAAUAGUCAAAAUCAAAUCGAUCUCACCUAUGGUGUCUCUCUUGAUGACAUCAAAGGCACGCACACAGACAUUGUUGGGCCUGAUUCUCUCAGUCCCAUUCUCCAUUCUUUGCAAAGUUGAGAGAGGGCAUAUUUCAACCCCCGAUCCACCAUGCACCAUGACUUUUUUCACAUAAUAUCCCUCACAUUUAACUAUCAAGUGGAGGGCUUUGUUGUGGGCGACCCCUUCCGGGGGCAAAUCAUUCUUGCUAAAGGAAAUCUGAUUGACUGCGAAAUUUUUUUCUGCCAUCCUUUCCAGUUGUUCGAUAGUGGUUUCAAUCGGAACAUAAGCCUCAUUGAGGGUCUUUAUCAACACUUUCUGAUGCUCAGUUGAGCUUAUCAGCAGAGACAAAAGUGAGACAUGAGCAGGAGACUUUCGAGUUGGUCAAUUAUCUCGUAGUCCACAGUUUUCAUUUUUCGGAAGAACUCCUCUGCUUCUUCGGCACUAACUGGCUUUUUGAGCGGGAAGUGCUUGUGCAUGGCAUUGUUCACUUCCUCCAGAAUGAGGUAUUUCCUAGAUGAGUUGGUUUUAUUUACUUCCCCUAUGAUUUCCUUCCCCUUGUAUGUCACAAUUGCUCUGUUGUAGUUCCAGGGGACUGCAGUGGGGUCUUUCAUAGGCUUUUGUGGUGCAUGGCUAAUGAUCACGGGCUCGCUCAAACUGGGUGGAAUUACUGGUCCUCAUGCCACAUAGGUCCCUUUGGGCAUAUACAUCUUCGGUCCCUUGUUCAACUCGAACCUAUUAGGAGGACUUAACGCCAAUUGUUUUUUCCUGUGAGCUCAGGGAACAUAAAGAAUGGCGUCUUUAGGGGGUACUGCCCUUAUUUUGUUUUCCACAGUCUUUUCUUCACUUCGAGGAGUGGAGUUACUCUUCUUAUCCCCCUUAUCUUUUGUUGUGGCGGCCUUUGGCUUCUUUUCCACAUCGACUAUGGCAAUGAUGGCUUUUAGAGCUGGGUCAAACUCUUUAUCUUCACAAAUGAUCCCGAUAACUGGCCCGUUGUUGUGGGCCGACAAUGGGUUAUUUGUCACGUUGGGGAUUUCUUCAUCUUUCAGCACUACCUUUUUUGCUCUAUUAAGUUUUCGAUUGCCCUUUUGAGAGUCCAACAGUCUUUAGUGUCAUGCCCUUCUGCUCCCGAAUGGUAAGCACAUAGAGUACCGGCUCGAUAGGAGGGCGACUCUAGGUUUUGCCUGGUUUGGGGUACGGGUUUCAACAAACCCAUUUGGACCAGUUUAGGGAAAAGGCUAGAGUAUGAUUCACCAAUAGGCGUGAAUUUUGUUCUCCUGGGUGGCUCCCGGGAACGGGCAUUGUAGGAGAAGUUAUUUUGUGGAGGUAGAGGAUUAUUAUAAGCUUGGUGAGGAGGGCUAUUUCUAGGAAAUUGAGCUCGGUUUUGGUUAAACUGUUGUUGUGUCCGAACGUAUGGCUGAGCGUUAAUUACUACAUACGGCUGAGAAGCCAUAGCAUAGGCCACAUCCUGAUGAGGAUAAUAAUGUUGUAGGGUGCUUGGAGGGAAGUAACCUCUGGGUGGACGAGCGUUUAUCAGACUUGAGACUGUCAUUGCCACCUUUUCUUUCUUUUUUCUGUUCACUACACCUCCGAACCCGCUUUGAAUUGCUUGGGAUGUAGCUCUUAUAGCAUAUUGGCUCAAUAUGCGCCCUGUUUCACACCAUUCUCGACCAUCUCACCAAUCUUGAUGGCCUCAGCAAAUGGUUUUCCCAUUGCGGUCAUCAUAUUCUAAAAGUAGUCAGCCUCUCGGGCUUGUAAAAAAACACUAGCCAUUUCUGUUUCAUCCAUCGGGGGCUUGACCCUGGCCGCUUGUUCGCGCCAUUUAACAUAUUCUCGAAAACUUUUUGAUGACUUCUUCUUGAGAUUCGACAGAGAAUUCCUGUCAGGAGCUAUGUCUAUGUUAUACUAAAACGGCUUGACAAAAUCUCAAGCCAGAUCAUCCCAAAUGUGCCAACGAUACAUGUCCUGAUCCAUGUACCACUCAGAUGUAAUGCCAACUAGGCUCUCUCUGAAAUAAGCCAUUAGGAGCUCUUCUUUUCCGCCUACCCCUCUUAAUUGAUUGCAAUAUCUCUUGAGGUAGGUUACUAGAUCCCCGUGCCCGUCAUACUUUUCAAACUUUAGGGUCUUGAAACCCAGGGGCAAAUGCACAUGUGGGAACAUACAUAGAUCAGCGUAGGAUACACUCUUUUGUCCGCUUAAGCCUUGUAUAUUCUUAAGGCUCUAUUCCAUACUCCUCAUUUUCCGGGUAAUUUCCUCUUGCUCGGGGUUCUUUGUAGUCUUCUCCUGUCCCGCGAUAAACUCGUACCGGGGUUGUUGAGGGUACAAAAUUGGUGGUGAAAUGAGUAGGUUCUGGUGGAAAAGAUGGUACUUGGAAAGUGAAGGAUGAUGGAUCAAAGCUUGGCCUGGGCAAAGUGGGUUGUACCACAGCCGAGGUUGGUGGUGUGAUAAAUAUAUUGGAGGCCACUCCCGAAACCACCUGGUGCGAACCUCAGAAGGUGUUCCGGUGAAGUGAGCUGAGAUGGUGGGGUAUCCAAGUGGGGUAUUCGGGUAUUUUCCACUUGCUCUGGGAAGUAACUCGGUGAAACUGGGUAUGGCACUUGGCGGCUCUCUACCAUUGGACUAGGCAUACCACAUUUCAAGCACGCGGAGACAUAGUGCCCUAUUCUCAUCAGCUGCCGCUGACUCUGAGGUUGGGAUAACCGAUAGUGGGCUAUCUUCUGGGAUGGGAAUUGUUGGUGGAUGACCUUCUGACGACAUUUCUACACUGCCCUUAGAUCUUGUAAAGUAUGGGUAUGAAGCCAGGUUACCACAAACCAACCACCUUAAAAACAGAACCGGAUACUCAAUAGUAGACAACAAACCGGUUAGUUUGAAGCAAUUAACACAUAGAGAAUUUCACAUUGGGGGUGUGAUGCACCUAUACAGUUAAAUGUGUUUCUACAUGUUUUGCAACGAUUGCAUGCCUCAUCCCGACUUUUGUUUAUCUCCCCGAUCUUCUCUCUUGCUUUCUUUUGCAUUCUUAUUUCCCUUUUCGUUCUCAUUCUCUUUUCCUCGUUUUCUCUCUUUUCUGUUUGUUUUUUCUUUUCGUUUUCUCUUUUCCACAUUUUCUCUUUUAUUUUAAAAAUCAUGACCGGAUUCGAUGAGGAUUACCUAUGUAUCACGACACUGCGUGAAUCAAAUCAUCACAUAGUUCAAGGAAUAAAUGCAAAAUAAAUAAAAUAUUUUUGGCUUUUUUUUCAAAUUUCAUUAAAACAAGACUUCUAAUUUUCCUCUAUUACAAAGACUCGAUCCUACAUACUUGAGAAUUGGAAACUAAAACAGACUCGAAAUAGACUUUAGGAUUGAAAAUACAGACUCGAAAAAAGAGAAAACAAUCAGGAAUACAUCAAUGCCUCUAAUCCUGCUCUAGGAACACCAACUGGUCUUGUUGCGGGCCUGUGCCCCAUGUCAUCCUGGAUGUGAUAGAGAUCAUCCAUUAUCUGGAGAACAAAGAUCAUGACCGUGGCGAAGAACAUGAACUUGGUCAUGUCCUCGUACUCGUUGCACUUCAUCACAAUGUAGUCGGCGCUUCUUCUAACCCUUUCCCUGAUGAUGCCCUUUCCCAAUCUACUGAGAUCUAGCCUCCAAAACUCGGGUGAUCAUAUGAUUCUGUUCUUGCAAAUGUUGUAAGUCCCUCUCUAGCUGUGCCAUUAAAGCAUAGCAAUGUUCCCUCUCAGCCUUGAAGCUCUUGGCUUGUUUAGUCAUUUCGCCCUCAAGGCUAUUAAGCUUCUUUUUCCAACCCAUGACCCCUCUAUCAUAUCUUUCCUUUAAUUGUCGAACGAAAGUUGCUUGAUCUUCUGCAUUUUUGGCCAACUUUGUUCGUACUUUUACUAGCUCAGACUCACUCUUUUGCAAAUCAUCCUCAAAGUCACGUACUUUCUGCGUAAAGUUGUAAAUAAGCCUUUCAUCUUUUCUGCUUCUACAUGGUUCCUCAGCUGCUAUUCUCAUUUUUCGAACAUGGGCCCGGAGAGCUUCAUUUUCUUGGACCAACCUUCUUCUUUCACCUUCAUCUUCUUGUGCCUAUAGAUCGUUAUUGAAUACGACGUUUCUCAAUUCUUCUUGCAAAGCGUGAAUGGUGGCUUGAUAUUUUUUCUCCUUCUCUCCCCAAGCCAACCUUUCCUGAAUUUUAUCAUCAAAAGCUUGAACAUGAGGUCUCUUGGCGGGCCUUUCCGGCUCGAGCUCGGGCUCUGGCUCAUCAUUUGCACAAAACCUUUUUUCAAACUACAUAGCAUAAUUCGGAUCCACUUCCCCUCUUGCAAGAUCCGACACCUGGGUGUCACUUUUCAGAUAUCGGCAACCAUUCCAAUCCCGUUGGACUAAAGCCUCAGGCAGUGUUUCCUCUGGGUGAAGCUCAAUGACUUGGGUCCUCAAAUCUACAUCCUCGGGUACCACCUGAUACCUUCCCAGUUGCCUUAGAACUCUCUGCGGUGCAUAUGGUUGGAUACUCCUCAGGCCCAUCAUCAUCAAGUAGCCUUUUGAAGCUGUCAUGUAUAUGACUUCUGUUACCGGAAGCCACCCUAGAGUCCAUUCAAUUUGACUUGCCUUUAAAGUCCGUAAGUGGGAAACCCAAGCAUCAAAACCUUCUGGAGUUUUGUUUAGCCUCUCCUCAUGACUCUUUAUGAAGUUGUUCCCGUCCGCUUCGUGACUCAUGAACUUGGGGUGAUGGCGGAGAUGCUCGAUCAACCAUAUUUAAAGAAGAAUGUUGCAACCCUCGAAGAAUUGAGCCCCGGUUUUACACAAUGUCAAUGUUCGAUAAAUGUCUGCUAGCACUAACAGAACAAGUGUGUGAUCUUCCUUGGUAGUAAGGAGUUGUGCAAUUCUGGCCACGCGAGUGUCUUUUGUCCCUUAUGUAUUUGGAAAGAUCAUGAUCCCCAAAAAUGCCACGAUAAAAUCGAACCGACGAUGAAUUUGCCAGGUGCUCUUAUGUUGUUUGUUGUUUAACCCUUUUUCAUGAGUUUCAAAACCAGCUAAAUGCCCGAACCUGAAGUAUAAGAAGUAGAAAGAACAACAUCCUUUGCUUACAUGGGCCUUCUUCAUUUGUUUACUAAUAUUCACAAGAUCAAAGAAUUUGUGCACAGAGGGAGCCCUUGGGAAUAUGAGUUGUUGCUUCCUCAAGUCUUGGCCAAAGUUAAUGCAUCCGACCAUUUCCUCCAGAGUAGGGGUGAGCUCGAAAUCGGAGAAACGGAACACGUUGUGGGUAGGAUCCCAAAAGGUUACCAAGGCUUUGAUCAAAUCUUCCCGGGGUUUGAUGCUCAUGAUGUCUAUAAGGGAACCCAACUACUUUUGCACCCAAUCCUGGCUAUAUUUAUCUAAAUCAUUCCACCACAUGCGAAGCUGCAACUGAGCCCAUUCUAUGACAGAUUGUGACUGGUUCUAUAAUGGGUCCUAGACAGUAUUCAUUUGUGAGGGGUCCUGGACAUUAUUCAUUUGUGACGGGUUCUGGACAGUAUCCAUUUGUAACUGCGGAGGGUUGAAGUUAGGUUUGACUCUGGUGGACUCUUUUUGCAAAACAAGUUUUUCAAUUUCUAAGAAAAUCAACGGAAAAAGACCCCUUUUAUUUCUAUUUUAGCAAAAAUGGUCGUUUUUGCAAAUGUGGCCCCUUCGCAAUUCCAAACAAAAUUUGAGGCUGGGGGUAAGUAUUUUAUUGGAAAAGAUACCUUUUAGAUAGACUUGCCCGUUCUUUCCGACAAUAGCCUUCCGAAAAUUGAAUAGUAAUUUAAGGCUAUUCCGGCAAGAACGACUUAAAAUACAACCGAAGCUGGGUCGGCUUAUUCUUUUGACCAAAGACCUAAACUACACUUUAUUCAAUUUUAUUAUUUUGAAAAAAAUGAGGCCGAACCUUAUGUGGGUUACCUACAUAUCCCACAUCCGGUGAGAAUCAGACCUGCAUAGUUUGGUCAAUAAUUGGAAAAAACAUGAUAUUUGACUCACUCUUUUUUUUUAAACACUUUUUCCUUCUUUUUUUCAAACAUUUUGGCAGAGUUUCGAGACAUUUUUCAAAUACCGGAAUUUUAAAAAAUCGGGUAAAUUCUCUAUCCUAGCUCACUCUUGGUUUUUCUCUUUAUUUCCUUUCCCUAGCCAGUCAACAUGGAAGCCGAAACAAAUAAAUAUUCACAUAGCACAUUGGAUGCAUCAGGAUGGUCUUUAUUUUCGGGUACACCUGUCCUAGACGGACUCAACCCCUGUGUUGAGUCCCCAAGGUCAAAUGCACGCGAUGCAAAUAAUCGUUCCUACUAGGAAUCCGGCAUGAGAUUGCGUUACUCUAGGUUUAAAACAUGGGGUUUAUGUUCUUGACCUGGCUUACCCGAGCGGACAAACUCGAGUCGAGGAGGGGGCAACGUAUCGAUAGGACUAAAGUCUGCCCUGCCUUGUUACUUGCCCAGCCCCGUUCUAUUUGGUAUAACUCUAACAAAAAAGUGGGCCACGCAAACGUGAGCACUGUUUUUUUAGAAGACUCAGAAGGGAGGCGUAAGAAGACAUCUAAAUACAGUUCAAGUAAUAUCAAAGCGGAGCCAAAUAAAAAUCACAUUAACAAGCUCGAAUUCUUGAACCCUGAACCGGAACUUCUGGGUUCUUCUCUCCAGCAGAGUCGCCAGAGCUGUCACACCUCCUUUUUACCCCCGAGGGUAUAAAGGAGUUUUUUCAAUUAAAGUGACAUAAAUCAAAAUGAGAUUAUUUAAUUUAUCAGAGUCGCCACUUGGAAUAGUUUAAUUGGUGUCCCAAGUCACCGGUUUAUUUUAAAUCCCAAAUCGAGGAAGUUUCGACUUUAUUUUAAAAGUCUGCAAAUCAGAAAUUCUAGAUAAAGAAUUCUGUUAACCCGGGAGAAGGUGCUAGACAUUCCCGGGUUCCGUGGUUCUAGCACGGUCGGUUAGUGAUUAUUACUUGGCUUGAAUUGUUUAACUACUCAUUUUUAGGACCUAUAUGCAUUUAUCUUUUACCCGCUUUUAAUUAAAAAAAUUAUCCUAAAACGAGUCACGCAUACGUGUACCCAUUUCGUUUGGUGCAUCAAGAAUCAUGUCACGCGUACGUGUCCACAAUUAAUCACGCUUUAUUAAUUAUUAAGAAAGUUUGACUGAAGUUGCGCGAACACAUACCUCGAUUUAUAUAUUUUUUUGGUAUCGUAACUAUGUCACGCGUACGUGUAUGUAAUCACGAUGAUUUAUUUAUUAAUACGUGCCUAAAAAAUACUAGCAGUAAAAAAAAAUUAUUAAAAAAAAUUAAAUACAAGGAAGAAAAUAAAUAAACAUACUAUCCAUGCUCACUUUAGCACCCAAACCCACUUUGUUACUUAAACGAAAUUAAUCUAAAUCUUACUUCUGAUUUUUUGACUUAUACCUUGUGUCUUUUCUUGUAGCAAUGAGGCCAAACAUAAGUAUUUCUUUUAAGGAGCCAAAGCCAGCACGUGACUAGCAAUGCAGCUAACAGAAGUGAAAUCAACAACAAUCUAUAACAAAUAGGUAAGAAAUAUAGCAAAGGUUCCAUAGUUGUAAGCAACUCCAAGAAACAGACUCAAAGUAGCACCGGCACAGUGCUUCCGAUGGUGCAGUAAACCAAUCGAAACCAUGGCCUAAAAUCAAUUACUUUCCAGACAACAACUAAUAAUUACCAGGCACCGAAGAUUUAAAAGACUUUCCCCAUAAAAUAGCAACAACAGUGAACAUAUAAGCAACAAAGCAGAACAUAUAUAAAAUAGAUUAAACAAACCAAAAAUCCCAUUUCACUUUGUUAUCAAAUAUUGUCUUUGAUCUAAUAUCAUAUUGUUUUUUGAUUAUACUAACAUGAAUACAGAAACAAGACAUUAUAUGAUCUUUUAAUAGUCUUUACAAAAUUGAUUUAAAAUGUUUAUUUGGUUAUUUCUCUAAUUUCAAGAAUACAUAAUUAAUUUCUUUAUAUGUUGAUGCAUGUGUUGGAUAAAUAUUCGUAACUAAUUAUUAAUUGGCAGCUAGCUUAGAGGAUUAUUACAUGGUUUUCUCUCAUCUUCCUCAUUCCGGACAGAAACAGUUUUCCCUAAUCUCUCUGAAGAUGCCACUGCCAACAACGAACACCAAGCACAAAAACAAAAAGAAUCAGAUAAUAAAUUAAGUUAAAAUUAAUUUUAGACAUAGACUAACAUAGAGGAACAUGAAUAAAAUAACCAUUCAAACUUUAAUUCAUUUGAAAUAGAGAGUAAGAUAAAAGAAAUGAACCUGCUAAACUGAAAUUCUUCUAAUUGACAAUGGAAAAUAAGCAAAUGUACACUUCUUCAGUCCCAGAAAUCCACCGACAAACAACAACAAAAAUCGAAUGGUGGAACCGGAACCAGGAAUUUCACCUCGAAUUCUCAAAACCUUCAACUUCUUUUUUGAUUUCUGUCCAAACACUUCUCAAAUUUUUUAAUUGUUCCCUUAUCUUGAAGAAUUUCAUGAACAAUGAGCUUUGUUAGGGUCGCUGGAUCUUGUUCUCUUUAUAUGUUAGGAAUUUUGGAAAAUACAGUGGGUAAUGGAAUUGGAAAAUAGAGAUUCAUUUACUAGAUUUUAACUUGGGGAAGAUAACUCAUUUUUGGGAAUGUUUCAAUUUUGAAACUUCAUUGGGUAGAGGUCUGUCUUGGUUUUUGAUGGAAAUGGAGGAGAAGCACUUUUACUCCAAAAUGCGC
rnacentral:lncRNA from 1 species